UGUGAGAUGCAAGUGUCUGCUGCA
rnacentral:siRNA from 1 species